rnacentral:rRNA from 1 species
GGCGGACGGGUGAGUAAUGCCUGGGAAAUUGCCCUGAUGUGGGGGAUAACCAUUGGAAACGAUGGCUAAUACCGCAUAACGUCUACGGACCNNAGAGGGGGACCUUCGGGCCUCUCGCUUCAGGAUAUGCCCAGGUGGGAUUANCUAGUUGGUGAGGUAAUGGCUCACCAAGGCGACGAUCCCUAGCUGGUCUGAGAGGAUGAUCANCCACACUGGAACUGANACNCGGUCCAGACUCCUACGGGAGGCAGCNNUGGGGAAUAUUGCACAAUGGGCGCAAGCCUGAUGCAGCCAUGCCGCGUGUAUGAAGAAGGCCUUCGGGUUGUAAAGUACUUUCAGUCGUGAGGAAGGNNUUAACGUUAAUANCGUUAGNGUUUGACGUUAGCGACAGAAGAAGCACCGGCUAACUCCGUGCCAGCAGCCGCGGUAAUACGGAGGGUGCGAGCGUUAAUCGGAAUUACUGGGCGUANAGCGCAUGCAGGUGGUUUGUUAAGUCAGAUGUGANAGCCCGGGGCUCNACCUCGGAACCGCAUUUGAAACUGGCAGGCUAGAGUACUGUANAGGGGGGGUAGAAUUUC